CCUCCUUUCCUUGGCAGGGACUGGGCUUGUGGUCCUGCUACCCGUAAUGUACAGAGGAAGAGGGAAAGGGCUCUGGCCCCCUUGGCAUCAUGUCUUCGGUGCUGGUGACUUCCCAUCUGCUAGCUCUAUCCUCAAGCGCCGAGACACCG
ensembl:snoRNA